UGGGGAAUAUUGCACAAUGGAGGGAACUCUGAUGCAGCGACGCCGCGUGAACGAAGAAGGCUUUCGAGUCGUAAAGCUCUUUUAUCUGGGAAGAUAAUGACGGUACCAUAAGAAAAAGCCCCGGCUAACUACGUGCCAGCAGCCGCGGUAAUACGUAGGGGGCUAGCGUUGUCCGGAAUCACUGGGCGUAAAGGGUUCGCAGGCGGAAAUGCAAGUCAGGUGUAAAAGGCAGUAGCUUAACUACUGUAAGCAUUUGAAACUGCAUAUCUUGAGAAGAGUAGAGGUAAGUGGAAUUUAUAGUGUAGCGGUGAAAUGCGUAGAUAUUAAAAAGAAUACCGGUGGCGAAGGCGACUUACUGGGCUCAUUCUGACGCUGAGGAACGAAAGCGUGGGUAGCAAACAGG
rnacentral:rRNA from 1 species